rnacentral:rRNA from 1 species
GUGGGGAAUUUUGGACAAUGGGCGGGAGCCUGAACCAGCCAAGUCGCGUGAAGGAAGAAGGAUCUAUGGUUCGUAAACUUCUUUUGCAGGGGAAUAAAGUGCAGGACGUGUCCUGUUUUGUAUGUACCCUGAGAAUAAGGAUCGGCUAACUCCGUGCCAGCAGCCGCGGUAAUACGGAGGAUCCGAGCGUUAUCCGGAUUUAUUGGGUUUAAAGGGUGCGUAGGUGGUUUGAUAAGUCAGCGGUGAAAGUUUGCAGCUUAACUGUAAAAAUGCCGUUGAAACUGUCGGACUUGAGUGUAAAUGAGGUAGGCGGAAUGCGUGGUGUAGCGGUGAAAUGCAUAGAUAUCACGCAGAACUCCGAUUGCGAAGGCAGCUUACUAAGCUACAACUGACACUGAAGCACGAAAGCGUGGGGAUCAAACAGGAUUAGAUACCCGUGUAGUCC